rnacentral:rRNA from 1 species
CCCUUAGAUGUUCUGGGCCGCACGCGUGCUACACUGAGUAAUUCAAUGGGUAAGGGAACGCUAGAGCAUUACCUAAUCUUGAAACUUGCUCGUGAUGGGGAUCGACGGUUGCAAUUUUCCGUCGUGAACGAGGAAUACCUUGUAGGCGCAUGUCAUCAUCAUGCGCCGAAUACGUCCCUGCCCUUUGUACACACCGCCCGUCGCUCCUACCGAUUGAGUGAUCCGGUGAGGCUCUGGGACCUGGACGGAAAGAGCGUUUCGCUUGUUCUGUUUGGGAAACUUGGUCGAACCUUAUCAUUUAGAGGAAGGAGAAGUCGUAACA